GCCGGGCAUGGUGGCUCAUGCCUGUAAUCCCAGCACUUUGGGAGGCCGAGGUGGGUGGAUCGUCUGAGCUCAGGAGUUUGAGAUCACCCUGGGCAACAUGGUGAAAACCCAUCUCCA
rnacentral:SRP_RNA from 1 species